CCUACGGGGGGCUGCAGUGGGGAAUAUUGGACAAUGGGCGCAAGCCUGAUCCAGCAAUACCGCGUGUGUGAAGAAGGCCUUAGGGUUGUAAAGCACUUUCAAUGGGGAGGAAAACCUACCGGUCAAUACCCGGUAGCUUGACAUUACCUGUAGAAGAAGCACCGGCUAACUCCGUGCCAGCAGCCGCGGUAAUACGGAGGGGGCAUGCGUUAAUCGGAAUUACUGGGGGUAAUGCGUGCGUUCGCGGGUCAAAGCCCCGGGCUUAACCUGGGAACUGCAUUUGAAACUGGCGGACUAGAGUUGAGUAGAGGGGAGUGGAAUUUCAGGUGUAGCGGUGAAAUGCGUAGAUAUCUGAAGGAACACCAGUGGCGAAGGCGACUCCCUGGACUCAAACUGACGCUGAGGUACGAAAGCGUGGGUAGCAAACAGGAUUAGAUACCCCAGUAGUC
rnacentral:rRNA from 1 species